GACAGAGGUGCCGAGCGUUAGGCGGAAUCACUGGGCUUAAAGCGUGUGUAGGCGGACCCGUCAGUGUCUUGUGAAAUCCCACCGCUCAACAGUGGAACGGCUGGGCAUACUGCGGGUCUUGAGGGACCCAGGGGCGAGCGGAACAAGCGGUGGAGCGGUGAAAUGCGUAGAUAUCGCUUGGAACGCCGACGGUGAAAACAGCUCGCUGGGGGUCGACCUGACGCUGGAGACACGAAAGCCCAGGGGAGC
rnacentral:rRNA from 1 species